AGAAAGGCUUAAGUAUCUUUGCGCUUGGGGCAAUGACGCAGCUAAUGAGGUUCUAACCGAGGCGCGUCUAUUGCUGGUUGAAAACUAUUUCCAAACCCCCUCUUGUGCCUGGGCUAGUCCUAGGCACUUGAGAAUUUCUGGAAGGGCUCCCCUUGGGGUAAAGCCCUAUAAAUUUUAGUUAAAAUUUCUGGAGAGGCUCUCCAUUUGGUAAAGCCCUAUUAGUUAAAAUUCCUGGAAUAGUUCUCGUUUUGGUAAAGCCCUAUAAUUAUUAGUGAGAAAGCCUUAUUAUAAAUUAUUAGUUUCUUGAAUGGCUUUCUUCGUGUGGUUUCAAUAUGAUAAACUUAAAUCCUACUCAUAUAAAAAUACCUUGAACCAAGAUCGGAGUUGCGACGGAGGUGCUGCUGAGAUGGAGCAUGACGGGGAGGGCUUGCGUGCAGUGGGCAUCUCAAACUUGAUGGUGAUCGAGGCCGCAACGGAGCACGACAUGAAGGGAAAUAACUAGUGCUCGGCGAUGGUGUGCGGGCUUGGGGAUGGCGCAGAUUUGGGCGAUGCAUCACUAAUUUGAACCAUCUCAAUGUGAUGAAAUCGGACCUCAACACAAGCAACAACGGUAUAGAUUUGUCACACCUUGUCGACUCCCUGAGCACCACGGCAGACGAACCUCACCGACGUUCAGCACCGGUCGACUGGGUCCAAGAGCAAACUUGGGCUUGAAUAUUUUUUAGUCUUUUGUACAUCUUGGUUUUUUUUGUACCUAUUUGAGUUUGAUGUUUUGUGACUGUAGCAUGGAUCUAGAUUAAUUUUGUUUGUUUGGGUUGUGAUUUUGAAAGCUUGGGAAUACAUAUUUUGCAUUUUAUCUGGUUUGAAAAUUUUCAUUAUAGUUUGAGCUUUGUUAUAAGGAUGGUGGUGGUUCAGAUUUAAUUUUUGCAGCCUAGUUUCAAAUGAGUUUCAAUGAGUCACCAUCAAGUUUGAACAAUAAAUCUGUGUUUUCUUGA